rnacentral:rRNA from 1 species
AGCGAACGCUGGCGGCAGGCUUAACACAUGCAAGUCGAACGGGCACUUCGGUGCUAGUGGCAGACGGGUGAGUAACACGUGGGAACGUACCUUUCGGUUCGGAAUAAUACAGGGAAACUUGUACUAAUACCGGAUACGCCCUUUUGGGGAAAGAUUUAUCGCCGAUUGAUCGGCCCGCGUCUGAGUAGCUAGUUGGUGAGGUAAUGGCUCACCAAGGCGACGAUCAGUAGCUGGUCUGAGAGGAUGAUCAGCCCCACUGGGACUGAGACACGGCCCAGACUCCUACGGGAGGCAGCAGUGGGGAAUAUUGGACAAUGGGCGCAAGCCUGAUCCAGCCAUGCCGCGUGAGUGAUGAAGGCCUUAGGGUUGUAAAGCUCUUUUGUCCGGGAAGAUAAUGACUGUACCGGAAGAAUAGGCCCCGGCUAACUUCGUGCCAGCCGCCGCUGUAACAC